GACGGAGGAUGCAAGCGUUAUCCGGAAUGAUUGGGCGUAAAGCGUCCGCAGGUGGCAGUUCAAGUCUGCUGUCAAAGACCGGGGCUUAACUUCGGAAAGGCAGUGGAAACUGAACAGCUAGAGUAUGGUAGGGGCAGAGGGAAUUCCUGGUGUAGCGGUGAAAUGCGUAGAGAUCAGGAAGAACAUCGGUGGCGAAGGCAGGUCUCUGGGCAUUAACUGACGCUGAGGAGCGAAAGCAUGGGGAGCGAACAAG
rnacentral:rRNA from 1 species